rnacentral:rRNA from 1 species
AGUGAACGCUGGCGGUAGGCCUAACACAUGCAAGUCGAGCGGAAGCACAGUAAGAGCUUGCUCUUGCGGGUGGCGAGUGGCGGGCGGGUGAGGCGUACAUCGGAAUCUAAUUUUUCGUGGGGGAUAACGUGGGGAAACUUACGAUAAUACCGCAUACGUUCUACGGCUGAAAGCAGGGGAUAUUGAGACUUUGGCCGUUUGAAUGAGAUGAUGUCGGAUUAGCUAGUUGGCGGGGUAAAGGCACACCAAGGCAACGAUACGUAGCUGACCUGAGAGGAUGAUCGGCCACACUGGAACUGAGACACGGUCCAGACUCCUACGGGAGGCAGCAGUGGGGAAUAUUGGACAAUGGGCGCAAGCCUGACCCAGCCAUGCCGCGUGAGUGAUGAAGGUCUUCGGGUCGUAAAACCCUGUUAUUAGGAAAGAAAAUAUGUGUAUGAAUCUCCCGCCGUCCUGACGGUACCUAAAGAGAAAGCACCGGCUAACUACGUG